CUAUAAUAGCAUUGAAAAGAGAGAUAUGCUGUAACAUACCUCUCUAGUGUAGAGCCGUUUAAGACGGUGACCGAUUUUGUUACAAAAAA
rfam:Enterococcus faecalis HH22 contig00221, whole genome shotgun sequence.